rnacentral:rRNA from 1 species
GACGAGUGGCGGACGGGUGAGUAAUGUCUGGGGAUCUGCCCGAUGGAGGGGGAUAACCACUGGAAACGGUGGCUAAUACCGCAUAACGUCGCAAGACCAAAGUGGGGGACCUUCGGGCCUCACACCAUCGGAUGAACCCAGAUGGGAUUAGCUAGUAGGUGGGGUAACGGCUCACCUAGGCGACGAUCCCUAGCUGGUCUGAGAGGAUGACCAGCCACACUGGAACUGAGACACGGUCCAGACUCCUACGGGAGGCAGCAGUGGGGAAUAUUGCACAAUGGGCGCAAGCCUGAUGCAGCCAUGCCGCGUGUAUGAAGAAGGCCUUCGGGUUGUAAAGUACUUUCAGCGGGGAGGAAGGGAUGAGGCUUAAUACGCCUCGUCAUUGACGUUACCCGCAGAAGAAGCACCGGCUAACUCCGUGCCAGCAGCCGCGGUAAUA